rnacentral:rRNA from 1 species
AUUAAAAAGCUCGUAGUUGAAACUUGGGCCUGGCUGGCAGGUCCGCCUCACCGCGUGUACUUGUCCGGCCGGGUCUUCCUUCUGGAGAACCUCAUGCCCUUCACUGGGCGUGUUGGGGACCAGGACUUUUACUUUGAAAAAAUUAGAGUGUUCAAAGCAGGCCUUUGCUCGAAUACGUUAGAAUGGAAUAAUAGAAUAGGACGUGCGGUUCUAUUUUGUUGGUUUCUAGGACCGCCGUAAUGAUUAAUAGGGACAGUCGGGGGCAUCAGUAUUCAAUUGUCAGAGGUGAAAUUCUUGGAUUUAUCGAAGACUAACUACUGCGAAAGCAUUUGCCAAGGAUGUUUUCAUUAAUCAGUGAACGAAAGUUAGGGGAUCGAAGACGAUCAGAUACCGUCGUAGUCUUAACCGUAAACUAUGCCGACUAGGGAUCGGGCGAUGU